rnacentral:lncRNA from 1 species
GUUCAAAUCAUUUUGCUGUAUGAAGACGGGUCAUGGGUUAGGGUUAUGGUGGGACAAAUGUUGCAUUGCAAAGUAGUAACACAUAAUAUAUAUUUUUAAUCACAUAUGGUUGAAUCAUAUUCACCAGGGUAAAACAUCAUGAGCUAGAUUAAACAGAUUGUCCUAAUAUCUAACUUUACAUGCAAUGCACACCUGUUUCAUUGCUGUUAAUUUUUCAAUCCACACUGGGGGGUGGGGGUCAGAAAAGUUUCUACUUUUAUGAGGGGGGAGACACAACAAGUUUGCCUUCAGUCUGGAGGGGGGUCAAAAAAGUUUUCAAUCCUUAUUUUCCCCAUAUCCCAACACCCCCCACUCCCCAUAAAUAAUGACCACUCCCUAAUCUCCCCGGGGUUCACAGGAAGAACACACAGAUAAAAUACCAAAUUCCCCCUUGUUUCCCCCCCAGUUGUCCCAGGGUGUACCCCCCGGGCAGGCCGUUGAUAUGUGCAUAAUUCUCUUUCAAAUUGUAUAAAAAGUAGGUUGUUCCUUUUGCAUUUCUACUAUACAUAUAAUUUUAAUGUAUAAAUUUGUGAACACAGCCAUGCUUUGUUGAAACGAAACUUAUGUCGGUUUAUGCAUGUAUCAUCUAAAUAUUUACUGCUGUUUGUAUUUUUCAGAUUAUGGAAACUGCACAUUGUUGAUCAUGUCUACUCACAAUGUACUCUGUGCACAUUAUGGGGAAAGUAAAUCUGCACUAAUAAAUACCCAAAUGUAUAUGGCUCUACGUUUGGCCGGCUGGAAUCAUUGUUAUAUUCGAUGGCAAUUCAUGGCAAUAGAAUCAUAUUGUUUGACCAGGCAAAGGAUUAGUUAAUUAAGGAUCUAGCACACCAAACAAUAAUUAUAUAUUAUUUUAUUAAACAUAUUCUUAUGUGCAUUAUUAAUUUUCAUUACAAAUUAGAUUUAUUCAACAUUUAAAAAGUUUAAUUUAAAAAUAUAUACAAUAUUAUAUUACUAUUACAGGCCAUCAAUAAGUAUUCUUGGUUUCAUACCCACGUUUUAUUUUGUUAAUUCCAUAAGGGUAUUCUCGGGUUGUCCCAAAUGAUACAAGUGAAACACGCACAUAGCUAUCGCUUUUAAUAAAAGAGUAUUUGAUGUCAUAUUUACUUCAAUAUAUUUUAUUGAAGCUAUGCUGGCUAUAAUUAGCUGAUAUUUCCAGUGGUGGCACCAGCAGUGGGGACAUCCCCCCCUAAAAUAUUUUUCAAACCAAGCAUAUUUAUUAAUGGCCUAAUAAAUAAAUUAAAAUUAACACACAACACUCACACAACAUUCACACAUUAUAACAUACACAAAGUUACUUAGUGAAUUAUCAUGGCAAUUGUGCCAAUUAUGUUGUUCUUGAACAAUUGUCUGAGUGGGUUUUUGCUCUAUUUGGGCACACAAUUUUUGUAUGCCCUCUUUUAAAACACAUCCAGCAUACCAUUCCUAGUAAAUGUACAAUAAAUUUUAAUAUAGAGGGGCCACAAAAAAAUUUUGACCAGUGAGGGGGGGGGGGGAGAAAAUAUUUUGAACAUAAAGGGGGGCAAAAAAUAAAAUCUAUAGUUUGUAACAUGCAAUAUCAAAAGAGUGAUGGAUAUAUACAGUAUACAUACAUUGAACAGUAAUGCCCAAUAUAUUGAACCUAAAAGUUGUGUUCUAGGCACUGUAUAUGGAAAUUGUCAUCCUCAUCAUCACCAAAGAAUUUGUCUAAAGGGUCAUGCACUGAGUGCAUUUGCAAAUGCAAGAUUCAGUUGACAGUUGUUGUCCUGCUUUUAACACAGUGGACCUCUUUUGCAUGUUCUGUUUCUGCAUGUUGUUGAAAGUCUCUUCUGCCAUCUCUUCAAUAUACAGUAAUGCUUCCACCAGACACAAAUGUAUUUUUUUCAAUUAGUAAAAGUAGGUCUGAUUUGUGGGUUUUUUUGGUUGAGGACCAACAACUUUUCAGGUAUAAAGUCUGAAUUAUCUACUUGGCUAUCAUUUUCAAUAUUUACAAUAUUCUUUAUUUUCAAUAUUUACAAUAUUCUUUAUUUUCAAUAUUUACAAUAUUCUUUACAUCUGCAAGUAAACUGAGUAUGAGGGCAGGAAAAAUGGUUACGAAACUGACUUAUAGUAAUUGAAUUCAGAAUUGGGGGGGGGGCUAUGAAAUAUGUUGCCUGAAUAAGGGGGGGGAUAAAAUAGUUUGUUAGAAAAAUAAGGGGUCAUGAAAAAUUUUUGCUAUUCAUAAAAAUUUCGUCCAGCCCCCUACCCGGCAUUAAUAAUGACUUGUCCCUUAGCAAAGAAUGUAACUCAUGCACACUGUUACAUAUAACACUUUAACACAUUAAAUCGCACCAAUGACCUGAGCAAACCUUUGUGUAACUAUUGUUGGUAUUAGCAUCCGGUCUCAAUACUAAUUUCUGGCUUUUGCCCUUUAUCUCAUACAUAUCAGCACUAAAGUGAUCUGAACACAGACGACUACUUUUCGCAGGAACCGACUUCACUGUCGCAUGUUUAUUCAUAUACUCAACCCAUAUGCU